rnacentral:misc_RNA from 1 species
CUCUCUCUCUCUCUCUCUUUUAGUUGCAUUUGGAAUCCAAAACUUGGGAUAUUUUACACAUGCUUCAUGCUCUCCAAAAUUACACGCACGACCAUUUCCCCCCUUAAUCUUCUUGUCAAAAACAACUUUUUCUUUGAAAAUUUACAGAGUAAAUGUUCAGCUCAAUACAGGAUCUACUGGCAUCUUGGUAUGGUACCAUGCUGCAAUACUUCCUUUUUGGAUAGAUACGUUGUCAAACAUAAGAUUACUAACAUUCGGGUAGGCUCGCAGCAGCGGGCACCCACUCAGUUAUGGAAACAUUCCCUCAAGAAAUUCAUCGAAGUUCUCAUCAUCAGUUUUGUGAUUGUCUCCUGAUAUUGAAGCCUUUUUACCUCUUUUCCUCUUCUCUUUGGCCCCUUCAUUAUCAGAAUCAUCAUUAAUUCUUUCUGGUUCCCUGAAAGUAGACAAUUGGUCAGCCUCUAAACAGCAGAAUUUGAGGCAAUCAUUAUUUAACCAUUAAAAAAACGCCUUCAAAAGUAUGAGAAAUCUAAAAAGAGCCCAUACCUCUUUCUUUUAUGCUCUUCCUUUUCCCUUUUCUCUAAUUGCUCCUUUUCUUUCUUAUUUUUGUAGUUAAGCUUUUCUGCACAUCUAUUUAUAAUCACUCAACAAUCAACAUAAGAAGAUUCCAUAUAAUAAUAAUAAAAAACAACACAUAAAAAUAUUCACUUUAAGGAACUGCAUUUAUGUGGGAAUGUGUUGUGCUGCAUUGCAAUGAUCAGAUUUCUAUAAGAAAUUCUAAAUUAAAAAAAUCCCUAAGAAAAGGUUCUGUUACAUAUCUAUGGCAAUGAUAUCUCAGCAUUGCGUCCACACACAAUAUUUAAGACAUACUGCCAUUUGCAGCUCAAUAUCAGGGAUCAUAUAAAAGCACAAAACUUUUAUCAAGCACAUAUUAUUGGUAACUGAAUGGACCAUAAACUGAUGGUUGACAAAAUGAGAACUCUUGAUAAAAAAGUCUAGAAGUUCCCACAAAAAAAUUUAUGUUCUUAAAAGAAAUUAGUCUCUAAACUGCAGAAUAAGCAAUUCGGAAAGACCAUUGAGCAAAUAACUCAUCAGGCAUCACUUGCGCUACUAUAUUCAAGAGGAUAUACUCAAGAGGAGCUUCUAGUAUGAAAUUCAUCUAUUUGAAGAACUAAAGGAAGCCAAGGUGAUGAGCCAAAGACAAAAACGUCAUAGGACCAUCAAGCUAACAGAAGCGCAGAAGAAGCAUUAAACAAAACACGGUGAUAGAAACAAGUGUGUGCCAUGCAUUUGUAUGUACGCUAGAGCAUGCAGACUUCUUCUACAGAAAGGUAACAAACACAAUCAAACCAAAAUGAAAAGGUACAAAGACACAUCUCUUGUAAAUUCAGUCUGCAAGCAUGUAGUUGUCUGCAAAGAACAGUUGACCUCAUGUUACCUGGCAAAAAGAAUCAAUUACAAAAGCAGGAGUUAACAGCCUUCACAAAUACCAGCUCACCUUUCACAAGUUACCAACUUAACAAGGGCUUGCUUGUUUUCACCAGCUUCAAAAUAAGAAAAGUUCACCUCAUAGCUUGCCAAGCCAUUUUUUUCAUCACAAUGCUUGUUACCACAUACAAACUGCCCUUUCCCAGAUAUGACUUCCUUCUCUGUUCUCCAUCUCAAACCAAUCUUUCCACUCUUGUAUUGUGACAUGUCAGCUAUGCAGUAUCUUCAAAGAGUUAAAGUCAACGAACAAGGCUUUAAGGGUAUGUCUAAUUACAAUGUGAUAACAGCAAACAAUAUGGUUUAAAACCAGAAUAAAAAAAAGACCAAAAAAGUUCAGAACUUCAGAUAAAUAAAAUAAGACAUUCUGACAAAGGAUACUCUUUAAAAAGCUUAUCAUAGUAGCGCUUGACCAACCUUUGCUCCCAGGAUGUAUCCAUAUCAUCUUCCUCGGUACGUAUGAACCUUAAAAAGUUGAAGAGAUAAUUAAUAUACAAAGCAAAAUUUCAUAUCAGAAAGGACGUCAAAAUAGACUAUCUAAUAUGUUACAAAUUCCUAGAAUUGAUCCAUGAUGAUAAAGUCCAUCGCUCAAUAGAAAAUAUUCCGGAGUUCCAGCUGCCUCAAACUAUAACUCUUUAACCAUUUCUCAAUGUAACGCGAAAUCAAAAAGCUCAACUUAGAAGCAAAAAAGAUAAAGUUGCAGACAAUAUAUAAUUAUGGAUGCACAGUGAUUCACAUGAAUUUUGUUACAAGACCAGCAUACCGAUAUCCUUCUCUUAGGGUGUCCCGGUCCGUUUUAACUGGCAAUUUCACAUUUGAAGACUUUUCUUUCCCAUAGAAGCUAACUGCAUCAAAUUGAACCCACCAAAGUACAACAAAAAAUUCAAAACAUAUCUUAAUAUGCUACAAUCUGGUCUUAUCACCUACAUCAUAGCACAUAAAAACAAUCAAAAGAAGUACUUUUUUUUUUUUUUUGUGGUAAGGAAACGAAAUGUAAGGAUGAUUGUAGCCUUCUUCCUUCUUCAGUGGAAGAGACUGUUCAUCAUCCAUUUGCUAUAGGACAAAAAGGAUUUCACAAAUACAAAACUCCCCAUUUGCAUAAUUCCUUUUAUAUCCACCUUUCAGCUAACAAAACAAAUAAAGAGUUUUUCAAAUUAACAACUUCAUUUUUCAAAUUUUAAAGCUUCAAAUCAUCAACUAGCUAAACCGUACGGUACCAUAAUCGUUCAAGAAUUUCUUGUGCCGAUCGUAGGCGUUGAGACCUCGAAUGUAAGCUUGGUAUUGCCUGUCAAAAACAGUUUUCAGCACCCAAAUCCAUUGAAGAACAAAUAUCUAGAGCAAUACAGGGAUCAAAAUGUUAAUUAGAAUUAACAAAGAGGAAAAAGGCGUCCAGACGGUACUGUUUUCUCUCUUCUCUGUCGUAGAUUGCCGAUUUUAGAGACCCAAAAGAAGCCAUUUUAACCCUAGCUAGUCUGUGGCUUUUGGACUUUAAGGAAUUGCGGCUCUCUCUCUCAAUUCUUCGAGUUUUACAUCAAUUUGCAAAUUAGGGCUGUACACAGGAGAGCUGGAAGGAAAACUGAACGUAAUUACAAGGGAAGUUUACGGAGAA